GUUUCAUUUUUGAAGUGAUAUUUGAAAAUGUUUUUUGAGUGCUUUCACCAGCUUCUUCUUUUGUACUACUCACAUAUUUGGAGUUAAAUGAAAGCAGUACAAUC